rnacentral:rRNA from 1 species
GUUCUGGGUCACCUCCCACCCGUGUUUAUUUUACCUUGUUGCUUCGGCGGGCCCGCCUUAACUGGCCGCCGGGGGGCUCACGCCCCCGGGCCCGCGCCCGCCGAAGACACCCUCGAACUCUGUCUGAAGAUUGAAGUCUGAGUGAAAAUAUAAAUUAUUUAAAACUUUCAACAACGGAUCUCUUGGUUCCGGCAUCGAUGAAGAACGCAGCGAAAUGCGAUACGUAAUGUGAAUUGCAAAUUCAGUGAAUCAUCGAGUCUUUGAACGCACAUUGCGCCCCCUGGUAUUCCGGGGGGCAUGCCUGUCCGAGCGUCAUUGCUGCCCUCAAGCCCGGCUUGUGUGUUGGGCCCCGUCCUCCGAUCUCCGGGGGACGGGCCCGAAAGGCAGCGGCGGCACCGCGUCCGGUCCUCGAGCGUAUGGGGCUUUGUCACCCGCUCUGUAGGCCCGGCCGGCGCUUGCCGAUCAACCCAAAUUUUUAUCCAGGUUGACCUCGGAUCAGGUAGGGAUACCCGCUGAACUUAAGCAUAUCAAUAAGCGGGG